UUUUUGUUAUUAUAUGACCGGCAACGUGUUUGGUGGGAAUAGGUAAAAUUAGUGUAUGUUUCACUGCUGAACCAUCAGCAACGUGCUCUUAUUCUAAUUGUAAUUUAGUUAAUUUUUUUAAGUUUAAAUUAUAAUAAAGAAAAUAAAAUAAAAAUUUUGUAAAAAUUAAUUAUUUUAUUAUAAAUUCAAAGUUUAAAAUUUUAGCUUCGAUGCGAAGCGGAGAAGGGGAUAAGAAUACUUCCACGGCCCCUCUGGCAGUUGCAAAAGGCGACUAAUGAGGUUGCGUCAGGUCGACAGCCGGCGUAAAAUUUUUGUCAAAUAUUAUGAGGUGUCCUGAACAAAACUUAAGCGAAAUGCCUCAUCUUGUAUGUACGCGGAGAAAACAGAUGAGAUUGCCGACCCCAAGUAGUUGGGAUUAAGACGAGUAAGAAGAAGAAGAAUAAUUAAGAGGAUUUUGUUAUUAUUUAGUCAAUAUGCAAAAUUUUAAUUACAUAUAUGAAAUAGUCGCAAACAUUUGUUUAGAAAUGUAUAUUUUGGACUUUGAUGAAAAUUCCUUGUAGACCAAUAAAUUUAUUUAUAAGCAACAAACAAUUUUUUUUUUGAAAAGUAUUACAUCAAGCACUUCAACUUUUCUACAGGUACGCACUGUCCGUCUGUGAUAAGCUGCUUGGAUAACCGGCAAUGUCCCAAUGUUGAAAGUUUAACGGAAGCCAUUUCUUGCUGUCCAGAUUGAAUAAGAAAUUUGAGUUAUCAUAUUUUUAUCAUUACGUUUUACUUUGUCGCGUUUUUCCUCCAAUAUAUAUUUCAAAUUGUAAAAAACUUAUGAAAAAAAUUAAAAAUUGUUAUCGCAUUUAUUCCUAAUUAGAUUUCAUUUUAUUAGUUAGUUAAAUAUGUAUGUUACAUUUGUUAUAAAUAUAUAGUUGAAACCUUUAUAAGG